CGCCCUGUCUGCUCCCCAGCAGAUGGUCCGAGGGAAGAAGAUGGAGAGGAAAAAAAAAAGAAGAUAAAUGACUGCGUGCAAGAGUUUCAAAAUAGGAGACGGAGAAGCGUUUCGACCCUUUCCCCAUCGUCCACCCUUUGCACCUCUCUCCUCUUGACCAGGUGAAUGUUGCCAGCUGCUGCUCCCUGCUGCCAAAAUGCCUCGUCCUUCCUGACUUCAUGUUUGAUUCUGCUUCGGAUUUGCUGCCCGUGGAAAGUGAAGCUUGUUCAGUGGACACAGCACACAAGUCCAACAUCCUGUGAAGAUCGCUCCUGCGCGAUCGGACAGCCGUGCCACAUGAGCGCCGCCGAGGAAGCCGUGCUCCUGGGGAGCAACACAUUGGUCUUCAACCUGAGGUUUUUGCGUGUGGAAAUCAAAGGCCUGCUGGACGCUGUGCAGCUCUCCUGCGCUAGGUCAACGACCACACAAAGGACAUAUGGGCCCGCUCUGCUUUAACCGCCCCCUCCAGCCUGUCACACUUCAUCAGAAAUAAAAGCAAAGGAAAUAUUUGUAGCA
rnacentral:lncRNA from 1 species